rnacentral:rRNA from 1 species
AUUGAACGCUGGCGGCAUGCCUUACACAUGCAAGUCGAACGGCAGCACGGGUGCUUGCACCUGGUGGCGAGUGGCGAACGGGUGAGUAAUACAUCGGAACGUACCUUAUCGUGGGGGAUAACGCAGCGAAAGCUGUGCUAAUACCGCAUACGCCCUGAGGGGGAAAGCGGGGGAUCGCAAGACCUCGCGCGAUUGGAGCGGCCGAUGCCUGAUUAGCUAGUUGGUGGGGUAAAAGCCCACCAAGGCGACGAUCAGUAGCUGGUGUGAGAGGACGAUCAGCCACACUAGGACUGAGACACGGCCCAGACUCCUACGGGAGGCAGCAGUGGGGAAUUUUGGACAAUGGGGGCAACCCUGAUCCAGCAAUGCCGCGUGAGUGAAGAAGGCCUUCGGGUUGUAAAGCUCUUUUGUCAGGGAAGAAACACCGGCUCUAACACAGUCCGGGAAUGACGGUACCUGAAGAAUAAGCACCGGCUAACUACGUGCCAGCCGCCGCCGUAA